AACGAACGCUGGCGGCGUGGAUAAGACAUGCAAGUCGAACGGGACAACAUCUGUAGCAAUACAGGUGUUGUUUAGUGGGCGAACGGGUGCGUAACACGUGGGCAAUCUGCCGAGAAGUGGGGGAUAGCUCGCCGAAAGGCGAAUUAAUACCGCAUAUGAUCAGUGAAGACAUCUUCACGACAUCAAAGCCGGGGCAACCUGGCGCUUCUUGAUGAGCCCGCGGCCUAUCAGCUAGUUGGUGAGGUAACGGCUCACCAAGGCUAUGACGGGUAGCUGGUCUGAGAGGACGACCAGUCACACUGGAACUGAGACACGGUCCAGACACCUACGGGUGGCAGCAGUCGAGUAAUUUUUCUCAAUGGGGCAACCCUGAAGGAGCGACGCCGCGUGGAGGAUGAAGG
rnacentral:rRNA from 1 species